AAGUUGUUCUAGUUUUGUAACUAAAAUGGUUUGGCAGUGAGCGAUUCUUAUUAGGGGAAUAUGCAUAGUGAAGGAUGGUCCACCUAUUAGUUUACUCUUUUUAUGUUGGUGUAUGUCUGGUUUGAUAUUAUUGUUGAAUAAUUUAAGUUUGUGUAGUUUUAGUUAAGCUAAGUCUAUGUGCUGCUUAUGGGAGUUUUUGUGUGUUACAUUAAUAAGGGUGUUAUUGUAAGAUGAUGUGAUUUAGGACUUA
rnacentral:rRNA from 1 species